GGAAAGGUGCCCGAGUGGCUGAAGGGGCCUCCCUGCUAAGGAGGUAAACAGAGGAAUCUGUUUCGCGGGUUCGAAUCCCGCUCUUUCCG
rnacentral:tRNA from 1 species